AUUGAACGCUGGCGGCAUGCCUUACACAUGCAAGUCGAACGGUAACGCGGGGCAACCUGGCGACGAGUGGCGAACGGGUGAGUAAUGCAUCGGAACGUGCCCAGUAGUGGGGGAUAGCCCGGCGAAAGCCGGAUUAAUACCGCAUACGACCUACGGGUGAAAGCGGGGGACCGUAAGGCCUCGCGCUAUUGGAACGGCCGAUGUCAGAUUAGGUUGUUGGUGGGGUAAAAGCCUACCAAGCCGACGAUCUGUAGCUGGUCUGAGAGGACGACCAGCCACACUGGGACUGAGACACGGCCCAGACUCCUACGGGAGGCAGCAGUGGGGAAUUUUGGACAAUGGGGGCAACCCUGAUCCAGCCAUGCCGCGUGCGGGAAGAAGGCCUUCGGGUUGCAAACCGCUUUUGUCAGGGAAGAAACGCUCUGGGCUAAUACCCCGGGGUAAUGACGGUACCUGAAGAAUAAGCACCGGCUAACUACGUGCCAGCAGCCGCCGUAACAC
rnacentral:rRNA from 1 species